UAUGCUCUGCUCUAGCUGGUCAAACGGAACCAAGCCCGUCUUCCUCUGAGGUUUGGUCCCCUUCAACCAGCUAUAGCACUGUUGAAAA
rnacentral:pre_miRNA from 1 species